rnacentral:rRNA from 1 species
AUUGAACGCUGGCGGCAUGCUUCACACAUGCAAGUCGAACGGUAGGGUAGCAAUACCUGAGAGUGGCGAACGGGUGAGUAAUGCAUCGGAACAUGCCUAUUAGUGGGGGAUAGCCCGGCGAAAGCCGGAUUAAUACCGCAUACGAUCUAUGGAUGAAAGCUGGGGACCGCAAGGCCUGGCGCUAAUAGAGUGGCCGAUGUCAGAUUAGCUAGUUGGUGGGGUAAAGGCUCACCAAGGCGACGAUCUGUAGCUGGUUUGAGAGAACGACCAGCCACACUGGGACUGAGAGACGGCCCAGACUCCUACGGGAGGCAGCAGUGGGGAAUUUUGGACAAUGGGCGAAAGCCUGAUCCAGCAAUGCCGCGUGCAGGAUGAAGGCCUUCGGGUUGUAAACUGCUUUUGUACGGAGCGAAAAGGCUUCCAUUAAUACUGGGGGCUCAUGACGGUACCGUAAGAAUAAGCACCGGCUAACUACGUGCCAGCCGCCGCAGUAACAC